UACAGAGGGGGCAAGCGUUAUUCGGAAUUAUUGGGCGUAAAGGGCGCGUAGGCGGCUUGGCAAGUGGGAGGUGAAAUCCCUCGGCUUAACCGAGGAACUGCCCUGCAAACUGCUUUGCUUGAGGCCGGGAGAGGUGAGUGGAAUUCCCAGUGUAGCGGUGAAAUGCGUAGAUAUUGGGAGGAACACCAGUGGCGAAGGCGGCUCACUGGACCGGUUCUGACGCUGAUGCGCGAAAGCGUGGGGAGCAAACGGG
rnacentral:rRNA from 1 species